rnacentral:misc_RNA from 1 species
UCGAAAUUAUAGGCGUUCGGGGCUGUCGCCGACCUUUCGAGGUCGUGCACGCCUCGAUCGUUCUCGUUUUACACAUCCAUCUCACCCUUUGUGCAUCACCGCGUGGGCCCACCCCUAAAAAGGUGCGGCCUGCGUUAUUUUACACACAAACCUAGUCGUAGUGAAUGUCUUUACUUUUGCUAUUGCAAUCAGUA